rnacentral:rRNA from 1 species
GAUGAACGCUGGCGGCGUGCCUAACACAUGCAAGUCGAGCGAAAAGAUGAGGAGCUUGCUCGUAUGACGUUAGAGGCGGACGGGAGAGUCACUCGUGGACAAACUAACUAUCAGAAUGGGAUAAUAAUGGGAAAUAGGAGCUACUAACGGAUAAUAUAUUGCACCGCAUGGUUCAAUAGUGAAAGACGGUUUUGCUGUCACUAAUAGCUGGAUCCGCGCCGCAUUCGCUAGUUGGUAAGGAAACGGCUUACCAAGGCUACGAUGCUUAGCCGACCUGAGAGGGUCGUCGGACACACUGUAACAGAGACACGUUCCCGACUCCGGCGGUAAGCAACAGUAGAGAAUCCUCCGCGAUGGGCGAGAGCCUGACAGUGCAACACCGCGUAAGGGAUGAAGGUCUUCGGAUCGUAAAGCUCUGUUAUUAGUGGAGAACAAAUGUUUAAGUAACUGUGCACGUCUUGACGGUACCGGGUCAAAAAGCCACGGCUAACUACGUG